GUGCUUGCUUUGGCGGCACAUAUACUAAAAUGGGAACAAUACAGAGCAGAUUAGCGUGGCCCCUGUGCAAGGGUACCACACAGAUUGGUAAAGUGUUCCAUAUUUUU